GUCUCUGUGGCUCAGUUGGAAGAGCGUUGGUCUCAUAGAAAAUCUUUAUGACUAUGUUUGUAGACAUAGAUAUCCAAAGGUCGCAAGUUCGAGCCUUGCCAGGGACA
rnacentral:tRNA from 1 species